UACAGAGGGUGCAAGCGUUGUUCGGAAUUAUUGGGCGUAACGCGCGUGUAGGCGGUGAUGCAUGUCGGGUGUGAAAGCCCUCAGCUUAACUGAGGAAGUGCGCCCGAAACUGCAUCGCUAGAGUGUCGGAGGGGAAGGCGGAAUUCCCGGUGUAGAGGUGAAAUUCGUAGAUAUCGGGAGGAACACCAGUGGCGAAGGCGGCCUUCUGGACGAACACUGACGCUGAGACGCGAAAGCGUGGGUAGCAAACAGG
rnacentral:rRNA from 1 species